rnacentral:rRNA from 1 species
AUUGAACGCUGGCGGCAUGCUUUACACAUGCAAGUCGAACGGUAACAGGCCUUUGGGUGCUGACGAGUGGCGAACGGGUGAGUAAUGCAUCGGAACGUACCCAGAGGUGGGGGAUAACGCAGCGAAAGCUGUGCUAAUACUGCAUGUGAUCUGAGGAUGAAAGCGGGGGACCGAGCAGCAAUGUUUGGCCUCGCGCCUUUGGAGCGGCCGAUGUCGGAUUAGCUAGUUGGUGGGGUAAAGGCCUACCAAGGCGACGAUCCGUAGCUGGUCUGAGAGGACGACCGGCCACACUGGGACUGAGACACGGCCCAGACUCCUACGGGAGGCAGCAGUGGGGAAUUUUGGACAAUGGGCGCAAGCCUGAUCCAGCAAUGCCGCGUGCGGGAAGAAGGCCUUCGGGUUGUAAACCGCUUUUGGCAGGAACGAAACGGUGUCCGCUAAUACCGGGCGCUAAUGACGGUACCUGCAGAAUAAGCACCGGCUAACUACGUG